AACCUUUACAAUGCACGCAAGUGUGAUAAGGGAACCCUAAGUGCUUUACUACAAGUAAGGCUUUUGCCAAGAGUAAAAAUCUUGGCGAAUAAGUGGUGGGCAAGACGGGUGCCAGCCGCCGCGGUAACACCCGCGCCACAAGUGGCAAUCACGUUUAUUGGGCCUAAAGCGUCCGUAGCUGGUCUGGUAAAUCUUUUGUGAAAUUGUUAGGCUCAACCUAACAA
rnacentral:rRNA from 1 species